rnacentral:rRNA from 1 species
CCUACGGGUGGCUGCAGUGGGGAAUAUUGGACAAUGGGGGCAACCCUGAUCCAGCCAUGCCGCGUGUGUGAAGAAGGCCCUCGGGUUGUAAAGCACUUUCAGUGAGGAAGAACGCCUGGUGGUUAAUACCCAUCAGGAAAGACAUCACUCACAGAAGAAGCACCGGCUAACUCCGUGCCAGCAGCCGCGGUAAUACGGAGGGUGCGAGCGUUAAUCGGAAUUACUGGGCGUAAAGCGCGCGUAGGUGGCUUGAUAAGCCGGUUGUGAAAGCCCCGGGCUCAACCUGGGAAUGGCAUCCGGAACUGUCAAGCUAGAGUGCAGGAGAGGAAGGUAGAAUUCCCGGUGUAGCGGUGAAAUGCGUAGAGAUCGGGAGGAAUUCCAGUGGCGAAGGCGGCCUUCUGGACUGACACUGACACUGAGGUGCGAAAGCGUGGGUAGCAAACAGGAUUAGAUACCCUAGUAGUC